rnacentral:lncRNA from 1 species
AUAAAUCUUUUCAAAGUGAAGAAAAUAUUUAUUAGACAAAAUAAAUGGAAAGGAUAAUGUUCACCAAAGGCUUUGUUUGUAUCUUUUUAAAUAUUGUCAUGGCAAAAGAAUCUAAAAAUUGUACAAAUCGAACACCACUUGGAAUGAGAAAUGGAUACAUUAAAGCUGAUCAACUUACAGCUUCAUCAGAGUAUGAUAAAUAUUUCAGUUUGAAUUUCGGAAGAUUAAAUAAUGUAAAAUGUUGGUGUGCAAAGAAUCAAGGUUUAUCAGAA